AAUAUCUUUGUUAAUAGGGCUUAAAAGGAAUGAACUGCUUGGGUUUUGUAAGAGAACAACAUCGAUUUCACCUCACCUCACAUGGCCAGCCCAAUAUAUGAAAACAGCUGAGCUGUAAUAGAAAGCACUAGAAAGACUCUUGGUCUUAAUUCAAGCUGUCAAUCCUGUAAUUCAAACAAUAGUUUGGCUGGUCUGUGGGGCCUUGGAGACUUUUCCACUCCAAAGUUUCAAUGGGACAAUAAGCCACCAAGACCACAGCAGUGUGUGACUACUGCAAUGCUUCCCAGACACUUCAACCACCUGACCCCCUCCAGGGCUCUGACUGAAAGGUGCAGUGGCUUUUAGCCCACCUACAAAGGUGUCCUCUAUGCAGAUGAGAGCAAGGGGAGGCAUGGUUGGAAAUCACCAGGGAGUGGAGGGCUUAAGUGCCGUCCUCUCCUUUAGACAUAACUUGUGAAAUCCAGGGAAACCUGAAAGCCGUUAGGCAGGAGGAAAGUGUUUGGCUUCAUGCAUGACAGAGAAACCUGCCCAAUUGUUUUCUGGCCAGUUUGUUUCCACUGCACAUAGACCCCUCCCCAGCUGGUAUUUUCUUCUUUAACUCGCUCUUUGAAGCUGUGUACACUGGAACCCGAUACCUGAUGUGUAUGCGAGGGAGAGCUCUGCUGCACCAGAGGCACCAUAAAUAACUACUCACAUCAGAGGUCACAGCAGUAAAAAGGCUGAGAAAAAGACAGGUUGCAGAAUUUUUUGUCUAGCAUCUUUGAAGAAGUUAUGUGCAUACCCAGAAAUCAGACUGCAAAGGCAGGAAAUCUUCCUACAGCUCCUCUGAAAGAAUAAGGAAGUGGUUCAUCCAAAUACCUGAGUCCAGGAUAUCCUAAGGACUUGCAGUUAAUACAGUACAGUAGAAGAGAUAGCAAUAGAUCCAAGCAUCAGAGGGGGGACACAAACAAAGGACAUAGGAGACGAAUGAGCAGCAAACUGCUACGGCUGGGAAAGCAGCAUGGCUCAGAGGAACAGCAGAAAUAGCUUCCUGCUUUCCUGAUAUCCUGAGAAGAGGAAUCUGUAAUUAGGAUAUAAGGGAAUAUUCUUGCAAUCUGUUUCUGACAGUGGAAAAACAAUUUCUCUACUAUUUUAAUGACUCAUCUGUUUGGAAAGCAUGAUGAAUAUCGACGGAUCUGACAGCAUCCUGUCUGUUGCAUAGGAAACAAAAAUUUGAGAAUUUGUAAAAAAGUUAAAAAAUGAGAAUAAUGAAUGUCCAAAAUAUGGAAAGAAAUCAAAUAAGAAAUCAUUGAUACCCCUCCAGCUACUAAAACCUUUAAAUGAUUAAUCUUUUCUAAGAUUUAUUAAUAAAAAUUAAAAAUUGAGUAGUGGAAAUUCAGUCUCUUAGAUUAAAUAAAUACUGCACUAGUAAAAGCUUACACUGAACUGAAAAACAAGUGAGAAAAUGAUUGCUAAAAACUUACUGAGCUUUUCUGUAAGUGCACAUGGAUAAACACAAUUAUUUUGGAAUUUAUAACUUUGGAUGUGCAGUAUAAAGAGAAGAAUGAAUAUUUUAAAUCAUUUUCCCCAAAUCUCUGUGGCAUGUUAACAUUUCUAAGGAAUUUUAUAAAGAAAAUGAAGAUAAUAGAUAUUUGCUAUGCAAUUCUUUGUAACAAUACAAUAGAAGCUCAGUGCUUAAUAUUGAGCAACUUGGUGGAAUUGGAAUACAUUUUUUUUCUUCAAAAACAUAGAUAUGACAAAUGUGUGUCUAUUUAAGACAGCUUGAGAGCCAACAAGAGAUGACAGCAGAACUGGCCAUCUUCUGUCAACAUCAUCCUUGCCAGAUUCAGUCUGCAAAUGAAGCUCACAACUUAGUGUCUUAGUGUCUACUGUGUUUAAAAUGAGGACUGAGAAAUUUGCAUUCCAGUAUGUAUUGCAAAAACUGCUGAUGAGAUAUGAGAAAGCAAACAUGUAAGAGCUCAGCUCUUGCUGCCCUUACUAAAUGAACAUGUCCAAUUCUUGGCAUUGUAGAUCAUAACCAAAGGAGACUUUUUCACCUGGCAAGACAAUUCAUGUUAGGGAAAAUUUGUUCUCUUUCUUUAUUUCACAGCACAGCAGAAGCUUGAAUAAGUGGGAUGUGACAGGAAAAUCAGGUCUUUUUGUUGUAAGUUGUGAUUUUUUAAGAACAAAACUUCACAAGUACUAUUAAGAAUAAGAAUAUUAAUUUACUGCAGAGCAAUAAUUUUUUAAACUUUUCUAAAAUAAUAGGCUACAUCUCUACUUAUAUCUGGGUAUUUCUUUGCUUCUCAGAAUUAUCUGUACCAUACUGCAAGUGGCACAUAUUUAUUUUCUCAUCAGAUUUUUUGGUAGUUGAAAAUUAACUUUGUGAAGGUCAAAGAUGCAAUGUCAUCUUCAGGUGUUUAAAUUACAGUCAUUUCAACACCUCCUCAUUACUUGUUACUCUUUGGUCUUUUUUUCUCCUUUUAUUUCAACAUUGUUUACUUGACACUAAAUUUGGUCAUAACAGUAAAAAAUACACCUUAAAUAGGAUAAUAUACAUCACUUUUUCAACAUUUCUCUGCUUGACAAUUAUCAUUUUGGGCACAAAACUCUUGUUAAUUUCUGCUGUGCAACAUAUGGAUAAUUUCUUUCUAUUUCCACUGCAUUUAGUAUUGCAAUAACUGCUGAUAGUUCUGCCACUGUUUCCACUUGUCCCUUGAAAUGCAGGAAUCUUCUCUGCAUGCUUGAUGUAAUAUGGUUGUUUUCUGCAGCAUAGCUGAUGAGCUCUUCGAUUGGAUUUUAAAUAUAUAAAUUAUAUCAUAUUGUUUCAAGAGUUAAUUACUUCUUUUAAAAAGUUCUAUAGUUUCUAAUUACAACUAGCUUUCAGUGCUGGAUAAUUCCUGCUUACAUACAAUUUGCACUAUGAUCAUACCCUGCACAGUCAAAAAGUCCUGCAGGCUAUCCUGCAAUAUUGUGGAAUCUAAAAUAGUCCAGACAUGGUAUUUGCUCUGACUACCAUCAUUAGAGGUGGUGAUGCUGAAGGUAUUUAUGUUGACAAAGUUUUAGAAAGGAGGUGCAAACAACUGUGUGAGUUCUGCAAACACGUGGAAGCUGCUGGUGAAACUUGGCCCACAAUUUUAUAUGGGCCAAGUAACAGGGGUCCAACCUAUAAGGAGGAUGAACUGAACGUCAUGGGACAAACACAGUCCCCAGCCCCAAAGUCCAGAGCUGGUUGCAGAUGCUUAUCCACACAACCUUUG